rnacentral:rRNA from 1 species
GCGCACAGAAGCCUGGUCCUUGGGUGACGAGUGGCGGACGGGUGAGUAAUGUCUGGGGAUCUGCCCGAUAGAGGGGGAUAACCACUGGAAACGGUGGCUAAUACCGCAUAACGUCGCAAGACCAAAGAGGGGGACCUUCGGGCCUCUCACUAUCGGAUGAACCCAGAUGGGAUUAGCUAGUAGGCGGGGUAAUGGCCCACCUAGGCGACGAUCCCUAGCUGGUCUGAGAGGAUGACCAGCCACACUGGAACUGAGACACGGUCCACG